GGGAAAGGGAAUAGGAGUCAUUGGGUAAGGAAAAUUUAAGUUCUUCUUUGCAAGCCUGUCCUAAUGCUUUUAUUCGCUGUGCUAACCAUGAGGGACAUCAAAAUGCUAAAGGCACGGUCCCAGACCUCACAGAACUGAAGUGGAAGCUGGCUUGGCCAUGCGUCUCAUUGCAAAACGACAUCUUCAACAAUGGGAUCAGAAAAGGACUAUGAAGAGAAGGGAAAUCACGACAGUGAUUGCUCAGAGAAUUGAGUUCCCAUUCAGCUGUGUGUCUGGCUCUAAGUAAAAGUCUUGGCGAGGAGCAAUAGUCAGGAAGGAGGCGUGGCCCUCAGGGUUCUUGCCGCGUCCAAGGGAAGGUGUUAGCAGUGUGUCUCAGAGACUGAAGGAAGAAUCCUUGGAAAGGCGGUCUGUCUGAAAGCCUUCCAGGUGAUCCGAAUGAGCAGCCGUAGGUGUGGAUGUAGCCUCUGCUUAGUGUUAUAAGCAGUUCGAGGAUGGUGCUUUGGGAUUCAGUAGCAUCUGACCGUGCAAAGGCCCUGAUGGGGAAGCUGUGCGAGAUUUGUUGGGCCACAGAAAGACACACACCAGAUCUGGCCCUUGGUUUUCCACUGUAGCACAAGCGUGGAACCAGGUCACCCUGCUGCUACUCUGAUCUUACCGCUCAUUAAGAUCAUCGUGCUCAUCUGGCUCCUGACGGCUGCAUGCAUCCCCCUGGCCCCUCUGAUGUCAGCGUCUCAUCAUCCCCAUCGCUAUCAGAGAGCCCGGUUGUCUAACAGCAUCUUCUCCCAUGGCCUGAGCCUAAAGAAGACAGCCAACCUCUGAGCUUCUUGGAGAAGAGGAGGCCAUUCACAACAGUACAUUCCUUUCUACUUUGUUGAAUGGAAUGUCCUUCAGGCUCUCCCAUGCAACUUAGCUCUCCAGUGGAGUUUCCACAGAGAGACACCAGCGCUUCAUAAAGAGAAGUGACCACUUCUACAGACUCAGAGAGUUCACAGAAAUAUGAAGAUUCAAGAUCUUCAGGAGCAUCGACCAGACAUUCCCAUCCCAUAUGUUAGGGGCUCAUUCUGCCCCCAGGUAACAUAACAAUGAUUCCACUAAACUAGAAUUUGAGACGUUGGGUUCCAUAUAUCUCUGAAUCAACAGGUAAAGAAGGGGGUGACUGGACUGGCUGGCAUGAUUGAUCGCCACUACCAAGGGGAGUUGAGUUGCUACUACACAAUGGAGGGAAGGAAUGGUGUGUCUAGAAACAAGAGAUCCCUUAGUGUGUCUCUUAGUACCACCAUGUCCAGUGACAAAAGUCAAUAGAAAAUUACAACAGUGUUUUUCUUUCUCUGUCUGACUUUUACGUGACAUGAUGGAGGUGGUAGCUAACCCUAUGGUGGUAAUCAUAUUGCAAUACAUCAGUCUAUCAAAUCAACACACUGUACACCUUAAAGUUACACAAUGUCAUAUGUGAAUUAUAUCUUAAUAAAAUUGGGGGAAAAUGUAAUGAUAUUGAAAAAGAAGAAAAUUACAACAACCCAAUUCAGGGAGGACUGUUAAGGUCCAGACCUUUUAGGAAUGAAAGUUUGGGUCACUCCACCAGGCAAAGAACUACAAUCAGGUGAGGUGCUUGCUGAGGGUAAAGAAAAUAUGGAAUGGAUGGUGGGAGAAGGUAGCUAUAAAUACCAGCUAUGACCACAUGACCAGUCCCAGAAACGAUGACAGAAUUGUUAUGAGUGUUUCUUCUUUAUUUUGAUAUGAAUAUAUUUGUGUGUAUAUUAACAGAGAUUUUCUUUUAUUCCUUCUCUUUUCCUUUGUCAUCUAACAUAAGACAUGCUGAUAAUAGUUAACUUUAUAUAGCAUAGUAUUUAAGUUAGAAUUAACGCGGAAGAGGGAACAGCACUCAAGACCCUACAUUCUCUUCUGGGGAGAGAUUUAUUGCCUUUUUCUUUGUACACAGGAUAGUUGUAUCGUGUUAGGUGGAAGUGUGACCUCAUUAUCUUCAUUUGGAGAUUAAGUAUUUAAGGAGAUGUGUGUGGGUGUCAAGUUGACAAGGAUGGACUGUCAUGGUCAGUUAUUGCGUCAGCUUGGCUAGGCUACAAUCCCAGUUAUUCAAACACUAAUCUAGGUGUUGCUGUGAAGGUACUCUGUGGAUGUGAUUAAGGUCCAUAAUCAGCUGACUUUAAAUAAGGGAGAUUAUCGUUGAUAAUUUGAGUGGGGCUGAUUUACUCAGCUGAAAGAGCCUAACAGCAGAGACAUGGCUUCCCAAAGAAGGAGAAAGUCUGCCUGAGGCUAGAGCUCCAGCUUAUGCCUGAGAGUUCCAGCCGGCUCUUCCUGCUGGCCUGCCCUGUGGAUUUCAGAUCUCCCCGGGAAGCUGACUCAGAGGGAGAUUAGAAUGCAGAAAUUGCACUGGGGGGUGUUAGUGGGCAUAACACCUGUUAAGAACUGGGAGCAAGAUUGGAGGAGUCCACCGGACUCAUGUUAUACCCCUCAGCCUCUCAGAAAAGUUGGUUGUUGAAGAGAAUUUGAACAGUAGGAUACUUUGAGGUGGUGACUUGCAUGUAUAUGCAAAAGAAUAAAAUAAAUCGUGCAAAAGAAGAAAUGAAAUAGAAGACCUAGGUAAGUUGAGAAUGACUUAGGAUGACCAAGUAAGUUUCUGCACACAAAAUCUUGUUCUUCUUUUCUUUUCUUUUUUCUUUUCUUUUUUUUUUUUUGCUGAGGAAGAUUUGCCCUGACCUAAUAUUUGUUGCCAGUCUUCCUCUAUUUGGUAUGUGGGCCACUGCACAGGGUGGCCGCUAACAAGUGGUGUAGGUCUGUGCCUGGGAACCGAACCCGGGCGGCUGAAGGAGAGUGCACUGAACUUAACCACUAAGCCACCAGGACUGGCUCUUUUAUUGUUCUUUUACAACAUAAUUUUCAACAAUGGACAAUAUUGCCUCCAAGUUGGAGAGAGGGAUUGGUUCUUGAGGACCAAAAAAAUCCUACUCUCUUUAUGUAUAAAGCAGAUGUACCUAUGGUAUGCAAACGGUUUUACAAUAUAUCUGAGGCAUUAAAAUUUCAUGGCAGGGAUAAUUGGGAAAAAAUGUCUAAAAAGCCUCCUUAGGGAGUGGUAACGGAAAAAAAGUUGAGAAACAGUGCUUUAGAAUGACUUCUUAAAUAUUGUCAUUGUGUGCUUUCUAAAAAAUCAUGGAAAUAGCACUGUUGAAUUUUCCUACUAUAAAAAUAAUACAGUCCCAUUAUAAGAACAAACACAAUAAAAGAGAAAAGAUUGCUAAACAUCUCACCAUCCAGAGAUAACUACUAUUACACAUUUAGGGUUUGUGUGUGUGUGUGUAUAUGUACACGGAUGCACACUUUUUCCGAUAGAUAUUUUCACUUUUACUAAGAUGACAUUAUACAAUAAUUACUGUUUUGUAAAUGUUCCACUUAACAUUGCAGUCGGCUUUCUAUGCAAUGAGAAAUUACAGCAUAAUUUUAAUGCCUGCAUGAUAUUCCAUGAUACAGUUGUAUUAUAAUGUAUUUAAACAGCCUCCCUAGAGCUUCAUGUUACAGCAAUGUUUGUAACAGAAAGCAUUGCUGUGCUAAAUAGACUGCACUUUUAUUAUUGUUUGAAGAUAAAUUCCUGAGAGAGGAAGAGUCAAAGUCUAUAUACUUUCUUUGAACCAUUGGUACACAUUGCCAAGCUGUAUGUAUCCUUUCCCAUCAAUAAAUAGAUUUCCAGCACCAUGUUAAUGUCUUCAUAGUAUUCCACUGUACAGGAAUAUUAUGAUUUAUUUAAUCAAUGCAAUAUUGAAGUUAUCGCCAAU
ensembl:lncRNA